CUAUCUCUAAGAGGAGAAAAGGUAGGAAACAAAUAAACAGAUAUGUGAUUGGGAAAAUAGAAGACAAAAAAAUUGCACUGGACCAGCAAAGAGACUACAACUUUAUAUCAUGAAGCUACUAUGGUGGAAAACUCCUAGACCAGCCCCAGGUUUCCUGCCAUGAACUUGGAUCCGGGACCCCAACCUGCAUAUGGUGAUUUUUGCCCUUGUCGCCCUGUAGGAAUUCAACUUCCUAGGGUCCAGCGGCCCAUGGCUUUAGCCUCCAUCCAGGUUGUUUCUGUUCUGUUUCUGGUUCACAGUGAGUUUAAAGUACAGCUAUAUCUUUUUGGUUUGGCAUUUAAUAUUUUAUUUAUCAUUUUUAUAUAUUUGGAUUGGGAUAGUGAGAUUUUAAUGCAUAAGUUUAUAGCACCACCACAACCAGAAAUCUUUGAAGAAUUCUUUAAGCUCAAUUUAAGUAAAUGAGAACCUAUUGUUAAAAAUAGUGUUAUUUGACAAUCCAUGUGUUGUAAAUAAUUUGUAUGAACCUGUGGUCAUUGCUGCUGUUAGGUUUCCAAUGAAUGUUAGAAGGUAUCUAAGAAUAAAAAAUUUUCCUUUGGAACAAUCCAGGAAAAAUCAAAGCGGUGGGGGGCGGUCAAUAUUUCUUUAUUCAGGGUCUGGGUGUGCCAUAGACUGCACACAUCUACAUUACUCUUAAUAUUAGAAUCUAUUCUAUGUUACCAGAUUUAAUUUUUAAUCAAUGUUUUAAUGCAAAGUGUUUCUAAUAUUUUAUCUGAAUAUUUCCCAGCUAAUAUAAAAAUUACCUUCUAUAAUAACAGUGUAACUCCUCAUGAAAUAGAAUCAAUUAUGAACAGAAAAAUCAAAUUGAAAUAUUGUAAUGUGCUUGAAUUCCUUGGGUAGCUGUUCUAGUGGUCAUUUAAUCAGCAUGAAAUGAUGUGAAGAGGUGAUCUUCUACCAUAUGAUGGCAGAAGGAUAACAUGAUCUGAAGCCAAGAGCCAAAAGCAGAAGCUUUUGAAAUUACUUAGUCUUCUAAGCUUGGAGGUUAUCAAAUUCUCUCACAUCAGAUUCAGUCUUCUUGUGUGACACCUAAGUUCCAUCAAGAUUCAAGGAGAUUUUAUCAACUAUGUAGUGACCACAUCUUCUCUCCAACUUCACCAUCCCCUGACUUCUUUAUUUCUAGACCAGCUUUGUCCACUGUGGUAGCCACUAGUCACAUAUGAUAUAGAGCAUUAGAUACAGAGCUGUCUCUAAUUGAGAUAUGCUGUGUGUGAAACACAGCCUAAUUGCAAAGAUAGUAUGAAAUAUGAAUGCAAAAUGCCUCAUUAUUGUUAUACAUUAUUACUUAUUGAUUGUAUGUUAAAAUGAAAAUAUUUUGGAUACAUUGG
rnacentral:lncRNA from 1 species